GAUGUCCCAAUGGAGAAACAGAAAGCAUGGAGUCAUCCUGUCACUGAAAAAUGCUCUUGCAAAGGUUCCUUAUAAAUAUAAAGAUGAAACCACUAUUGGAAGAAUAAUGUGCUGAUGGCACGGUGACUAUUCUGUUACAUGGUGACUUCUGAGAUUCUAACAUUUGCUUUUGUUCUCUGCUGGAAGGAAAACAGAAGCCUUUGUGAAGUACGAUAUUAUAUUGGUAUUCAGGGCAAAUACAGGACCUUCAGUGUGAGACUGAACAUAGUGCUGAUUGUCACUCUCACUGAACUCCUCGCUGUGACUGUGCAGCAGCAGAGAUUGCAGGCAGUGAUCUCAGCUGAAUGAAGACCAAUGCCAAAAUUCAGGCUACACAACUCAGUCAGUGUUUCUUCAGAAAACAGGAAUAGACAG
rnacentral:lncRNA from 1 species